GCUAAUAAAGCUCGGGCUCGUAA
rnacentral:siRNA from 1 species